rnacentral:rRNA from 1 species
UACGGAGGGUGCAAGCGUUAUCCGGAUUCACUGGGUUGAAAGGGUGCGUAGGCGGACAGGUAAGUCAGUGGUGAAAUCUCCGAGCUUAACUCGGAAACUGCCUUUGAUACUCUCUGUCUUGAAUAUGGUGGAGGUAAGCGGAAUAUGUCAUGUAGCGGUGAAAUGCUUAGAGAUGACAUAGAACACCUAUUGCGAAGGCAGCUUACUACGCCUAUAUUGACGCUGAGGCACGAAAGCGUGGGGAUCAAACAGG